rnacentral:rRNA from 1 species
GAUGAACGCUAGCGGCAGGCUUAACACAUGCAAGUCGAGGGGCAGCAUGGGACGGAGAUUCGUCGAAGUCCUGAUGGCGACCGGCGCAAGGGUGCGUAACGCGUGAGCAACUUGCCCGUUUCAGGGGGAUAACCGGUGGAAACGCCGACUAAUACCCCAUGGUAUUGAGUUUAGGCAUCUUUACUCAAUUAAAGAAUUUCGGAAACGGAUAGGCUCGCGUGACAUUAGCUAGAUGGCGGGGUAACGGCCCACCAUGGCGACGAUGUCUAGGGGUUCUGAGAGGAAGGUCCCCCACAUAGGAACUGAGACACGGUCCUA